UAGUGGACGCAACUUGACCCCGAUGGUUGACCUUUGCAUUAUAAUUCAUAAUAAGGCACAACCUAUUAUUGAAAAGGAGUGUACGUAAAACACGAGCUGCACGAGAUAAAGGAAAUAUAAAUUUGUGUAAAUAUAAAUUAGUGUACUAUUGGAGAGUUUUAACUGAUCAAAUGACCCCAUGAUGGUUAACCACAUUCAUUUUCUCCGUCAUAGGCAAAGUAAGGAUCGAAGACCACCACUACCUACCUUACCAAACCACAUGCAUGUGUAAAAGUUGAUUGUCCAUUGUGCAUUCCCCAAGGAGGUAAAAUAGUAUUUCCCUUUCGAUCUAUAAAUAUUACAGAGACGUUUGAAACCUUCUUAGCAAACAAAAGACAUCUCUUUUGAUCGUUAUAACGUCUCUCUGAGACGUCUUUUUUUGGUGUAUUUUUAGUUGCUUUUGGAAGGUGCGUUCACGUCUGUAUGACUUCUUUAAUUUCACGUCUUUAUAUAGUUGGUUUUGAAAGGUGCGUUCAUGUCUUUUUCGCGUCUUUUAGUGACGUCUUCGGAUACACCCCAUAAAACAUGUAAAAAUUAAAACUAGCACAACAAAAAAAACCACAAGUUCAGCUAAAACAUUUGAUAUUUACAUCUUCAAAAUCGAAAUAGUUAUG